rnacentral:ncRNA from 1 species
GCAACCUGAGGCUCGCGCACGGCAACAUCGUGGUGUUCCGUUCGCUGCUCGGGAUUUCGUGGAUGUGGUUCUUCGGCGCGACCUUCCUGAGCCUGUUCCCGAGCUUCGCGAAAGAGGUGCUG